AUAGCUUUUCUCUGUGUAAAUAUUUUGGUACAUACGUUUAACGUGUUCUUAUCCUGAGAAGGUAGUGAUGGGAUCUUUUCAUUCAGGGGCUUGCUAAUGCACAUCAGAUAGCAGUUAAGAGUCAAAAACAUUAGUGUAGGACCAGAGUAACAUAAAGCCAGGCUGACUCAGAAUAGCAGGUUUACUUCUCUACAGGACUUUGGGAGAUCAGGCAGCAGAUGUGCUUGCAAGGACCCCUCCAAGCCACACGACUGCCUGACUUGGAACCAAAUUUCUAUUCCUUCAUUGUCACUGAGUCAAAAACCUGGAACUCGCUCCCUAGCAGCACAGUGGUCAUACCUACACAGCCACAGACUGCUGUGGUUUAAGAAGAUAUUUUUGAAACUGAACAAAAUUUUCAAACUACAAUGUUGGGAUUUAAUCUUGCAUUCCACGCAUUAUUCGCUUUUGAAUGAGUUGUGCAGGAACACAAGAGACUCCUGACAUUGUGUAUUCAGGUGGAGCUCAGGGCUUCAUUCCAAAUUUAGAAUGUCAGGCAGCAGAGAAAGCCAAUACCAAAGAUGUUGGGUUUAUUGUUUUGUGAAGUCUGCUACAAGAAAUUGCAGGACAUGUGAGUGAAUAAUGGGGCCGAGAAGACAAUGUGGAUUUUGGAAGCUUGCUAAAGCAUGGGGCAACAGUCCAUCUGUUUCACUUAAGCAGUGAGAGAGAAAUAAAUGGCAGUGGAUUUUGUCAAGGUUCACCUUGAGCAGCUCGGUGAUGCAGGACUCACUGCUCUACGGCUGUUCUCGCCUGGAGGACUAUCAACCAGGUGAAAGAUGCUCUUUGGUCUGCCCAAAACUUGUUGUCUUCCAGUGCAAGGAGUUGUCCUCGACCACGUGUUGCAGACUGGCAUAUUCAAAGGUCCGGGAUUGUGUGCUGAGGGAUAUACUAAAGCUUGGGGCAGCUACUGCCAAAGUGCAGUGAGGAAAGACCACUGUCUGAGGUCUUACUGCUGAAGUUAAAUGGGGGUCUGUUCAAUUAUCCCGGUGCCUCAAAUUUAUGUAAAUAGAGUCUUGUACAAGUAAGAGAUGGCUUUAUUAAUCUGUUUGUUGGAUAGAGUCAAACUCCAAUGUUUGUUUGUUUGUAUUCUUCAUAUGCUACUGUAUAGAACUGAACUGCUUUAGGGACUAUGUCCGUACUUUUUAUGAAUAAAAUAU